GACGGUACCUAACCAGAAAGCCACGGCUAACUACGUGCCAGCAGCCGCGGUAAUACGUAGGUGGCAAGCGUUGUCCGGAAUUAUUGGGCGUAAAGGGCUCGCAGGCGGUUUCUUAAGUCUGAUGUGAAAGCCCCCGGCUCAACCGGGGAGGGUCAUUGGAAACUGGGAAACUUGAGUGCAGAAGAGGAGAGUGGAAUUCCACGUGUAGCGGUGAAAUGCGUAGAGAUGUGGAGGAACACCAGUGGCGAAGGCGACUCUCUGGUCUGUAACUGACGCUGAGGAGCGAAAGCGUGGGGAGCGAACAGGAUUAGAUACCCUGGUAGUCCACGCCGUAAACGAUGAGUGCUAAGUGUUAGGGGGUUUCCGCCCCUUAGUGCUGCAGCUAACGCAUUAAGCACUCCGCCUGGGGAGUACGGUCGCAAGACUGAAACUCAAAGGAAUUGACGGGGGCCCGCACAAGCGGUGGAGCAUGUGGUUUAAUUCGAAGCAACGCGAAGAACCUUACCAGGUCUUGACAUCCUCUGACAACCCUAGAGAUAGGGCUUUCCCUUCGGGGACAGAG
rnacentral:rRNA from 1 species